AGGUGGACGGGAAAGGCCUCCCAUUAUUGCUAUACCAUAGAGAAGUUACUCUGCUGCCAGCUAGCCUGUUUUUGUUAUGUUGGAUGUGGUAUGAGGAGACAAACCUGGGUUGUGCUUCUACAGAAAACCAUUUUAGAAAGAAAAUCCCAAGAGGAGGAGAUUGUGGAUUAAUGCUGCUAGACCUAGCUGUCCCUGGGGAAUGACCAAAACAAUGGCAGCUAUCAGAGUUCCCAUGUGUUUGAGAGAAGAUUUCAUCAAUGCCUCGAAUCCCUCCUUCUCCGAUGGUAUCCACACCAUCUUCUUGGCCGACCAGUCUGCCUGCGCCACCCCGCUGUUACGGAAAUCCUUCUCCAGGAAGAGGUACUUGUCUUCCUCAGCCAUGUUUGAGGUAUCACCGUCAGCGGCGGUUGAAUCGACCUGAGGAGCGCUGUCAGCGUCUGAGUCGACCUCUGGUACCUCAGGGGUGAUGGAGCUGUCGUUGUGGCCGUCAGCGGGGAUUGGGAUUGGGUCUGCGUCUGGGGGACUGAUGGGAGUUGGGUUGACCUCUGACCUCUGGUCUUCCUCUGGCCUGCAGACAAAACAGACAACAAAUUCAGACACCCAAUAUGAACUAUAACACAAUGCUUUAUUAAAACACAUGAAUAAAACAAUAUGUCCUGUAUCAA